ensembl:lncRNA
GUGUGGCCUGGGGGCCUGGGGGUGUGGAGCCCGACGGGCGUGGGAGUGGGUGACUCCAGGGCUGCCCAGCUGCCGGCCGGAGUUUCUCCGACUUCGGUGGGGCUGCGCUGGGGGCUGGGGACCCGGACGGCCCGAGGCGGGGGCGACAAGUCUGUUUCCUCCCGGUCUCCGCCUGCGCCGGCUGAAACGAGUCUUUCCGGUGGGGCUGCCCAGCCGGGUCCGCCCCGCCCGGCCUCCCGGAACCCGCUCGGAGACGUGAACGACCCCGCCCGGGCCGAGGGCGCGAGCAGGAGGGUGGGUGGAGCGGCUGGAGAGGCAAGAGCCCGGGUCCUGGGUUCUAGCGAGCUCUGGAGCCCCUCUUUCCGAUCCGGUGGCUCCCCAAGGGCACCCUGACCGAAGGUUUAUGUUGAAGCUUCCUGGGUGAUUCUGCGAAUCAAGGCUGCGAAUAAAGUAUUCUCAAACUUGGGAACCAGCCUUGUAGCCUGACAAAAUUACCUGGGAUGGAGCUCAGGACGACUGGCCCUUGUCUUGCUCUGUGACUGUACAUGUCACUUCUCACUUGUCCAUUCAAAAAAAACUCUGGAGAACCUCCUGUCUGCUUGGGCUUCUAAAUCAUGGCACUGACACUUUAAAUUAGAAAAUAACAAAGAAGGAAUCUGCCAAAUAGAAGCAUGAAAGGCUUUGCAAAAGAAUUGACAUUUGAUAUGGAUUCUGACAGAAGAAAAGGAGUUGCCUGGGUGGCAUCAGUUCAUCUUCUAUAAGGGGUCCCUUUGGCAGUUUCAUAGUCAGGUUUCAGGAGAGACCAGUUUCCCAUACUGAGAAAAAAGACCCCAAGGAGGCUAUAUGCAAGUUCUCUGACUUCCAGGAGCAGCCAGCCCAGGAGCACAGUGGGGCUAUCAGCAAAGCAGGGAUGCUGAUCCAAGUUCAAAUCCCAGUCUUCCCAGGGCCACACUGGGAGCUUUGGAGAAAAUUGCAGAAGUUGGAGUUGGCAUCCGUCAACGUAG